UAAGACGAACCGUGCAAACGUUAUUCGGAAUCACUGGGCUUAAAGGGCGCGUAGGCGGGUAAUCAAGUCAAUGGUGAAAGCCUCCAGCUUAACUGGAGAAGUGCCUUUGAUACUGAUUGUCUAGAGUGAGGUAGGGGCAUGUGGAACUUCCGGUGGAGCGGUGAAAUGCGUAGAUAUCGGAAGGAACGCCAGUGGCGAAAGCGAUGUGCUGGACCUUUUCUGACGCUGAGGCGCGAAAGCUAGGGGAUCAAACGGGAUUAGAUACCCCGGUAGUCCUAGCCCUAAACUAUGGGUACUAGAUUGUGGACUUUCAUGGGUUCACAGUCGAAGCAAAAGUGUUAAGUACCCCGCCUGGGGAGUAUGGUCGCAAGGCUGAA
rnacentral:rRNA from 1 species